rnacentral:rRNA from 1 species
AACGAACGCUGGCGUCAUGCCUAACACAUGCAAGUCGAACGAACCCUUCGGGGUUAGUGGCGCACGGGUGCGUAACGCGUGGGAAUCUGCCCUUGGCUUCGGAAUAACAGUUAGAAAUGACUGCUAAUACCGGAUGAUGACGAAAGUCCAAAGAUUUAUCGGCCAGGGAUGAGCCCGCGUAGGAUUAGGUAGUUGGUGGGGUAAAGGCCUACCAUGCCGACGAUCCUUAGCGGGUCUGAGAGGAUGAUCAGCAACACUGGGACUGAGACACGGCCAAAAUCCUACGGGAGGCAGCAGUGGGGAAUAUUGGACAAUGGACGCAAGUCUGAUCCAGCAAUGCCGCGUGAGUGAUGAAGGCCUUAGGGUUGUAAAGCUCUUUUACCCGGGAUGAUAAUGACAGUACCGGGAGAAUAAGCUCCGGCUAACUCCGUGCCAGCAGCCGCGGUAA